rnacentral:rRNA from 1 species
GACGAACGCUGGCGGCGUGCUUAACACAUGCAAGUCGAGCGGAAAGGCCCUUCGGGGUACUCGAGCGGCGAACGGGUGAGUAACACGUGGGCAACCUGCCCUCAGCUCUGGGAUAACUCCGGGAAACCGGGGCUAAUACCGGAUACGACCUCUGCCGGCAUCGGUGGUGGUGGAAAGUUCUUCGGCUGAGGAUGGGCCCGCGGCCUAUCAGCUUGUUGGUGGGGUGAUGGCCUACCAAGGCGA